GACGAACGCUGGCGGCGUGCUUAACACAUGCAAGUCGAACGGAAAGGCCCUGCUUUUGUGGGGUGCUCGAGUGGCGAACGGGUGAGUAACACGUGAGUAACCUGCCCUUGACUUUGGGAUAACUUCAGGAAACUGGGGCUAAUACCGGAUAGGAGCUCCUGCUGCAUGGUGGGGGUUGGAAAGUUUCGGCGGUUGGGGAUGGACUCGCGGCUUAUCAGCUUGUUGGUGGGGUAGUGGCUUACCAAGGCUUUGACGGGUAGCCGGCCUGAGAGGGUGACCGGCCACAUUGGGAAUGAGGUACGGGCCAGACUCCUACGGGAGGCAGCAGUGGGGAAUAUUGCACAAUGGGCGGAAGCCUGAUGCAGCAACGCCGCGUGCGGGAUGACGGCCUUCGGGUUGUAAACCGCUUUCGCCUGUGACGAAGCGUGAGUGACGGUAAUGGGUAAAGAAGCACCGGCUAACUACGUG
rnacentral:rRNA from 1 species